rnacentral:rRNA from 1 species
ACGCUCGACACCUACGGGAGGUAGCAGUGGGGAAUAUUGCACAAUGGAGGAAACUCUGAUGCAGCGAUGCCGCGUGAGGGAAGAAGGUUUUCGGAUUGUAAACCUCUGUCUUUGGGGACGAUAAUGACGGUACCCAAGGAGGAAGCUCCGGCUAACUACGUGCCAGCAGCCGACGGUAAUCUGAGGCGGGCGUGGACGAAGGC